CGUUCAAGAUGACGGUGCCUUUUAGUGUACAAACUUGGAGCAGGGCUCCUUUGUGCGAUUUUUGUCGGCAAAAGGUAUGGAAUCAAAGAAAUGCCUCCCAUCUACGGUGAGAAGUGCCUGUCACGUCAAGCUGUUUACAGUUUGGUGCAGAAGUUCUCUGAAGGGCGGGCAUGUAUCGAAGACGAACACCGCCUCGGCCGGCCAAUGGAGAUUGCCACAGGGGCGAAUGUGCAAGGGGUUGAAGACUUAAUCCGAGCAGACAGAAGGGACAAAAUCAAACCAAACGAGACUACAGACACUACAGCGUGAACUGUCGCAAUGAAAAGAGCCACAAAAACGUGUUGACACCUAUUGCCUGGGGGCCAUGGCUGUUGCUAUAGAAACAACCCCAGAGUUUCUACACACCAGUGAAGGACUACCAGAAUUGAAGAAAGUGUUUGUAAUAACGUAGAGAACAUUAAGGGUCUUUGCAACCGACGGAGGGCUACCGGAGCCGUCGCAUCAGGACCUGAACCGCGGCAGGGAAGCCCGGACAGCCACAGAGCGACCAAGAAGGCCUCAGGGAUACCUUGACCGCCGCAGACCUGCCUGGAACUCCACAAGCUUACAUCCACCUGGAAUACCACAGACUCGGCCGGAUAAAACACAGAGCCACCUGGACGACUACACAGUUCCCCGAGCAAUCGCAGAACUGUCUGGACAACGGCAGAGGGGUCUGACCCGUUGCAGAAUAGCCUGAACUGUCACAGAGCGGCUCUGACCCAUCGUCGUGAUCAAAUGUGGGAGACCCGAAUAGCGCGGCCCGUGCGUAAUUAUUAAAGUGGCUUUUUGUAUGGAAGUGUCCUUGCUAUUUGCGGAACGGCCGAAUUCCAAAAGGAUGGUAAGAUUAAAUAUUUUGAUAUUUUCGCAUGAAUCGUUUCAGUAUGCCGCUGUUGCUGCUGGCUGUUGUGUACAAGGGAGGUGUAAG